rnacentral:lncRNA from 1 species
CUGAAGUGAUCUGCCCACCUCGGCUUCCCAAAGUGCUGGGACUGCAGGUGUGAGCCACUGCGCCUGGCCCCUUCAGGUGGGUUUUGAGGCUUCACGUUGCUGCUGCAAUAAAUUACCACACACUUAGUGGCUUAAAACAGCACAGAGGUAUUCCCUUACAUUUCUGAAGGCCAGAAUUCUAAAAUCAGUCCCACUGAGUCAAGGUGGGAGCAGGGUCAGUGCCUUCCCAGGCUCUGCGGGAGAAUCUGUUUCCUGGCCCUGGAGGCGGCCUGUACUCCUUAGCUUGUGCUGCCCUUCUGGAAUGACUCGAGUUUCCUGCUUUCAUCACUACACCUCCCACCGCUCUCCAUCACCUGCUGUGCUCUUACGAGGAUCCAGCUGAGACAUGUUUUAGGAAGUUUGCUAAAAGACCCCUGGAGACGUCCUCAUUGUGGCCUCCCUGCUGUUGUGUUUAAUUUGGUUGAUCUUCUCUGCCCUCCUGCUUUUCAGAAUUAAAAGGCUAAAAAGAGUUUUCAGAGAAAUGGAAUAAUUGUAUUGCUGAUCUACGUAAACAAGUUGAAGAAUUGUCUGAAAGAAAAUAUGGUGUGUCUGAACUGGAAAAGUCCUGUGAUAGUUUGUUCAUGAGCAUUUACACAAUGGAGUUACUGUUCAUCAUGGGGGUACUGUGGACAAGCCCAGGGCUGCUGACAUAAUCUUAUGAAUUCAACACAUGAAGAUUUACAACUUGAUAAACCAGCUUCAGGAGAUCAGAACUUCUUACAAUACAACUGAUGUUACUCAGCCUAGAACAAAUACAACAGGGAUUGUGCUGCAUUCUGACUUAGGUUCUGCCAUCGAACACAGAAUGCCCUGAUCCUUAGAGGCAGAGGCAGCUCUUCAGCCUAUGGGAAAACUGUGGAUUUAGUUACUCCACUCUGCCAUGUCCUUCCACCACUGCCUGCACAUUUGAGACCAAGGAUAGAGAUUGGGAAAAAUCCAUAGUUCUCCUGACUCAGAGUUUGGCUCCGGCACUCUCAUUUCAGCCAUAGCUGCAGACAAAGCACACGACUGCUGGGCACUGUGGCUCAAGAGAAGGGGGAGAUGCAGGAAGAAGAUGAGCCUUAAGUCUGAACACUGAGGAAUUCAUGUGCAUCAGUCAGACCUCCUGUGCAAGGAAGGAUGUGGUUACUACGGCAACCCUGCCUGGCAGGGUUUCUGCUCCAAGUGCUGGAGGGAAGAGUACCACAAAGCCAGGCAGAAGGAGAUUCAGGAGGACUGGGAGCUGGCGGAGCGACUCCAGUGGGAGGAAGAGGCCUUUGCCAGCAGUCAGAGCAGCCAAGGGGCCCAAUCCCUCACAUUCUCCAAGUUUGAAGGAAAGAAAACCAACGAGAAGACCCACGAGGUUACCACAGUGAAGAAAUCUUCAGUGCGUCUUCCAGGGUCGGAUCAAAGAAGGCAGAAAUUCAGGAAGCAAAAGCCAGUCCUUCCAUAAACCGGCGAACCAGCAUUGAAACGGAUAGAGUGUCUAAGGAGUUCAUAGAAUUUCUCAAGACCUUCCACAAGACAGGCCAAGAAAUCUAUAAACAGACCAAGCUGUUUUUGGAAGGGAUGCAUUACAAAAGGUGCCUCCAGAAAGGGUUGAGAAGAUAAUGGAUCAGAUUGAAAAGUACAUCAUGACUCAUCUCUGUAAAUAUGCGUUCUGUCCAGAACCCCAGUGAGCCUGGAAGACUGGGUGCUAUGGGAAAUGUCAUCAAUCCAAUGCUAGUGAAAGAUGUGACUGGGGAAUGCUGAAAAAUGCGCACCCCUGGGAGGAAUGAGGAAAGAUGACAUCCACUGACUUGUUAUUUUUUUGAGAAGGAGUCUUGCUCUGUUGCCCAGGCUGGAGUGUGGUGGCACGAUCUCGGCUCACUGAUGAUGAGAAGAAAGAUCUUGCCAUUCAAAAGAGGAUCAGAGUGGAAGCUUCUCUGUGGUGUCAGAAAGACGAGGAAUGUGGUGACCUCACCUAUCCAUCUCCCUCAAGGCAGCUUUUGUUUUUCUGCAGUGACCGUACUUGCAAUAAUUAAACAUAGUUGGUCAUUUAAAAUACAUCUCUGAUACUCUCGUCAAAGGUGGAGCCCAGUCCCUAUCGCCUUGAGUGAGGGCUGGGUUACGUGAUUCCCUUCUGACAGAUAGGAAAAAGCAAAAGUGAUGGCUUGCAACUUUGCAAACUACAUCAUAAAAGGUACUGUGGCUUCCUCCUUGCUCACUCUUUGAUUACUCACUUGGGAAAGCCAGCUGUCACACCAUGACACCUAAGCAGCCUGUAGAGAGGCUCAUGUAACAGGAACUGAGGCCUCCUGUCAGCAGUCACAUGAGGGAGCCAUCUUGGAAACAGGCUUUAGGUGACUGCAGUCUCAGUGGACAGCUUGAGUGCAAUGUCAUGAGACACCCUGAGCCCAAAUGACCCAGCUAUGCCACUCCUGAAUUCCUGACCCACAGAAAUGGAGAUCCUAACUUAAGUUCUUGGACUCACUGAGGCAGUAAAAGAACCAUAUCCUGUGUUUGAAUCAAAUCCCAAGUUCCUGUACGUAGAAGGUUUGCCAGACAGGAUUCCCUUUCGAAGCCCUCCUGGUUUGGAAUUCCAUGACUUGAAAGGAUCGUCCAUGGGAGUAAUAAAAUCAAAUUUGUUGGUAAAAAACCUGAACUGGUUAUUUCCUACUUGCCUCCUGGAGUUGCUAAUAAAAUAAACACUAAAGCUUCGCAGUUUCUAAAAAGACCAUGAAGCCCUGAGAGUAAUGAAAAGGUUCCUGAAAUUGAGGUCACUGUGGAAGAUGGGACCAUCUAGUUGCAGGAAAAGAAGGUCAAGACUCCCAGUCAUUCUACAUUAUGCCUCAGCCAAGAUGUCUCACCCCACUCUCUCUGAUGCAACAAGAAGCCCCUGGAGAACGUUUCAGUCCCAUUUUGUACUUCUGUCAUGUGCUCAUCACAGUCUGGUGGAAUUUAAAUGACCUCUUAUCAAGAUGGAUAAACCCAAGUUUCCCAGUGCUGGAAUAUAGAAAAUGGAUGGACAAGUAAGUCCCACUCAGCACCCAUAGCCCAGACAUGGGGACCUCAACACACCUGGGCCCCAGACAUCACCUUUCAUUCCGAGGCAUAUGCCAUUCAAGCUAAGGGUGCUACACUUGACCACUGCGGCAGUAUAGAUGAGUCUGAAGAAUGGUAUGGGAUGGAUACUUACGAAUGCACUCGAGCAGGGGUCUCCAUCCACAGGGCCACAGAGCCAGAGGUGAGCAGCAGCUGGAUCUACCAUGAAAGACUUCAGAGUCCAGGAAGAGAGACUGAUUGGGCAACAUGUUAUUCAGUUACAAAAAGACUUGGACUAUGACUCAAAAAUGAUCAAAUAAUAGUGCAUGCAUCCAAUGCAAUAAGAAGCACUUCUGGAGGGUGAGAGAAGCAUCCAGUUAAGGUGACAUUGAAGCUGGGUCCUGAAAGAUGAGGAAGAAUUGUAUGAGAGUGGGCAGAGAAGGGGGAGGUGGAGGGAUGGGGAAUGGGCUGAGAUGGAGUGAGCUGCUCAAGCAGGGAAACCAGCACUGUAAAGACCUGGUCAAUAAAGAUGGCACAUUUUAUUCAGGGAAUGGUGAAUUAAUUGUGGCAGGAAUGCUUUGGAGAGAGAGUAAUUUGCUUGUAUGGAAUUUUGCCCAAGAGACCUCAUUACAGUUUCUAAUCUUUUGAUGUUAUCGUCUAUCACUGUCCUUGUCAGAUAGUUUGGAAUAGGUAUAAUGAUCACAAUAACAUCAAGCAUAAUAUUUCAUUAAUUCUCACAAAAUCACAGGUAGGUGCCACAGUUAUCCCCAUUUUGUGAAUGAAGUGAUGAAGACUUAGGAAUGAUGAGUGAUUGCCCAAGCUCACCUGGAUAUUAAGAGGUCUUGCUCUGUUGUCCAGGCUGGAAUGUGGUAGUGCUAU